rnacentral:rRNA from 1 species
CCUACGGGAGGCAGCAGUGAGGAAUAUUGGUCAAUGGCCGGAAGGCUGAACCAGCCAUGCCGCGUGAAGGUCAGUGCCCUAUGGGCGUUAAACUUCUUUUGUGCGGGAGCAAUACUGGUCACGUGUGGCCAGACGAGAGUACCGUACGAAUAAGCAUCGGCUAACUCCGUGCCAGCAGCCGCGGUUAUACGGGGGAUGCCAGCGUUAUCCGGAUUUAUUGGGUUUAAAGGGUGCGUAGGCUGUGCGGUAAGUCAGUGGUGAAAUGCCCGCGCUCAACGGGGUGAAGUGCCAUUGAUACUGGCUGGCUGGAAUGCGGAUGCCGUGGGAGGAAUGUGUGGUGUAGCGGUGAAAUGCAUAGAGAUCACACAGAACACCGAUUGCGAAGGCAGCUUACGAAUCUGCGAUUGACGCUGAGGCACGAAAGCGUGGGUAUCAAACAGGAUUAGAUACCCGAGUAGUC